GACGAACGCUGGCGGCGUGCUUAACACAUGCAAGUCGAGGGUAGCAAUACACUGGCGCAAGGGUGCGUAACGCGUAGAUUAUCUGCCCCAUACACUAACAUAACGCUUGGAAACGGGUGCUAAUAUUAGAUGAGGUGCUUCGGCAUCAAAGUUUCGACGGUAUGGGAUGAGUCUGCGUCUGAUUAGCUGGUUGGUAGUGUAAUGGACUACCAAGGCGACGAUCAGUAGCUGGUCUGAGAGGACGAUCAGCCACACUGGAACUGAGACACGGCCCAGACUCCUACGGGAGGCAGCAGUGGGGAAUCUUGGACAAUGGGCGCAAGCCUGAUCCAGCCAUGCCGCGUGAGUGAAGAAGGCCUUAGGGUUGUAAAACUCUUUCGCCGGAGAAGAUAAUGACGGUAUCCGGAGAAGAAGCCCCGGCUAACUUCGUGCCAGCAGCCGCGGUAAUAC
rnacentral:rRNA from 1 species